rnacentral:rRNA from 1 species
UACGUAGGGGGCGAGCGUUGUCCGGAAUUACUGGGCGUAAAGGGUGCGUAGGCGGCUUGGCAAGUCGGAUGUGAAAUACUCUUGCUUAACGAGAGGGGUGCAUACGAAACUGUCGAGCUUGAGUGUAGGAGAGGGAAGCGGAAUUCCUAGUGUAGCGGUGAAAUGCAUAGAUAUUAGGAGGAACACCAGUGGCGAAGGCGGCUUUCUGGACUACAACUGACGCUGAGGCACGAAAGCGUGGGGAGCAAAC